rnacentral:rRNA from 1 species
AUUGAACGCUGGCGGCAUGCCUUACACAUGCAAGUCGAACGGCAGCAUGUCUUGUAGCAAUACAAGAUGAUGGCGAGUGGCGAACGGGUGAGUAAUGCAUCGGAACGUGCCAUUUGGUGGGGGAUAGCCCGGCGAAAGCUGGAUUAAUACCGCAUACGCUCUACGGAGGAAAGUUGGUGAUCGCAAGACCUGACGCCAUUUGAUCGGCCGAUGUCAGAUUAGGUAGUUGGUGGGGUAAAGGCCUACCAAGCCUACGAUCUGUAGCUGGUCUGAGAGGACGAUCAGCCACACUGGGACUGAGACACGGCCCAGACUCCUACGGGAGGCAGCAGUGGGGAAUUUUGGACAAUGGGGGAAACCCUGAUCCAGCGAUGCCGCGUGAGUGAUGAAGGCCUUCGGGUUGUAAAACUCUUUCGGUGGGGAAGAAAUCUUUAUGGUGAAUAGCCAUGGAGGAUGACGGUACCCGGAGAAGAAGCACCGGCUAACUACGUGCCAGCCGCCGCGGUAA